GAUGAACGCUGGCGGCGUGCCUAAUACAUGCAAGUCGAGCGAAUGGAUUAAGAGCUUGCUCUUAUGAAGUUAGCGGCGGACGGGUGAGUAACACGUGGGUAACCUGCCCAUAAGACUGGGAUAACUCCGGGAAACCGGGGCUAAUGCCGGAUAACAUUUUGAACCGCAUGGUUCGAAAUUGAAAGGCGGCUUCGGCUGUCACUUAUGGAUGGACCCGCGUCGCAUUAGCUAGUUGGUGAGGUAACGGCUCACCAAGGCAACGAUGCGUAGCCGACCUGAGAGGGUAGUCGGCCACGCUGGGACUGAGACACGGCCCAGACUCCUACGGGAGGCAGCAGUAGGGAAUCUUCCGCAAUGGACGAAAGUCUGACGGAGCAACGCCGCGUGAGUGAUGAAGGCUUUCGGGUCGUAAAACUCUGUUGUUAGGGAAGAACAAGUGCUAGUUGAAUAAGCUGGCACCUUGACGGUACCUAACCAGAAAGCCACGGCUAACUACGUGCCAGCCGCCGCAGUAA
rnacentral:rRNA from 1 species